rnacentral:lncRNA from 1 species
AGAUUUUGGUUAUUAGGGUUAGGGCAAGAGAUUUGAGCAAUUUCGACGAUUCGGCCAUCACUCUCCCUUCCCUUUUGGUCAGCCGCGAAUGCCUCUCUCCCCCUUGCCUCCCAAUCUCCAGCUCUCAAUUCCAAAGCCUGGGCCUCCAGCGCUACCCAAUCCUCUGCCGGAACGCCAUUGCCACCACCAAAGAUCCCAUUUUUUUCUCACCUCCCACC